rnacentral:rRNA from 1 species
AUGGUUAAGUUAGAAAGGGCGCACGGUGAAUGCCUUGGCACUAGGAGCCGAUGAAGGACGGGACUAACACCGAUAUGCUUCGGGGAGCUGUAAGUGAGCUUUGAUCCGGAGAUUUCCGAAUGGGGAAACCCACUGUUCGUAAUGGAGCAGUAUCUUUAUCUGAAUACAUAGGAUAUUGAAGGCAGACCCGGGGAACUGAAACAUCUAAGUACCCGGAGGAAGAGAAAGCAAAUGCGAUUUCCUGAGUAGCGGCGAGCGAAACGGAAUUAGCCCAAACCAAGAGGCUUGCCUCUUGGGGUUGUAGGACACUCUAUACGGAGUUACAAAGGAACGAAGUAAAUGAAGCGACCUGGAAAGGUCCGUCGAAGAAGGUAACAACCCUGUAGUUGAAACUUCGUUCCCUCUUGAGUGGAUCCUGAGUACGGCGGAACACGUGAAAUUCCGUCGGAAGCUGGGAGGACCAUCUCCCAAGGCUAAAUACUACCUAGUGACCGAUAGUGAACCAGUACCGUGAGGGAAAGGUGAAAAGCACCCCGGAAGGGGAGUGAAAGAGAUCCUGAAACCGUGUGCCUACAAGUAGUCAGAGCCCGUUAACGGGUGAUGGCGUGCCUUUUGUAGAAUGAACCGGCGAGUUACGAUCCCAUGCAAGGUUAAGCUGAUAAGGCGGAGCCGUAGCGAAAGCGAGUCUGAAUAGGGCGUUUAGUAUGUGGUUGUAGACCCGAAACCAGGUGAUCUACCCAUGUCCAGGGUGAAGUUCAGGUAACACUGAAUGGAGGCCCGAACCCACGCACGUUGAAAAGUGCGGGGAUGAGGUGUGGGUAGCGGAGAAAUUCCAAUCGAACCUGGAGAUAGCUGGUUCUCUCCGAAAUAGCUUUAGGGCUAGCCUCAUGUUGUGAGAGUCUUGGAGGUAGAGCACUGAUUGGACUAGGGGCCCCCAACGGGUUACCGAAUUCAGUCAAACUCCGAAUGCCAAAGACUUAUCCAUGGGAGUCAGACUGCGAGUGAUAAGAUCCGUAGUCAAAAGGGAAACAGCCCAGACCACCAGCUAAGGUCCCCAAGUAUACGUUAAGUGGAAAAGGAUGUGGAGUUGCUUAGACAACCAGGAUGUUGGCUUAGAAGCAGCCACCAUUUAAAGAGUGCGUAAUAGCUCACUGGUCGAGUGACUCUGCGCCGAAAAUGUACCGGGGCUAAACGUAUCACCGAAGCUGUGGAUUGACAUCUUUGAUGUCAGUGGUAGGAGAGCGUUCUAAGUGCAGCGAAGUCAGACCGUAAGGACUGGUGGAGCGCUUAGAAGUGAGAAUGCCGGUAUGAGUAGCGAAAGACAAGUGAGAAUCUUGUCCACCGAAUGCCUAAGGUUUCCUGAGGAAGGCUCGUCCGCUCAGGGUUAGUCGGGACCUAAGCCGAGGCUGAAAAGCGUAGGCGAUGGCCAACAGGUUGAUAUUCCUGUACCACCUCCCCGCCGUUUGAGUAAUGGGGGGACGCAGUAGGAUAGGGUAAGCGCGCUGCUGGAUAUGCGCGUUCAAGCAGUUAGGCUGAUGAGUAGGCAAAUCCGCUCAUCAUAAAGGCUGAGCUGUGAUGACGAGGGAAUUAUAGUACCGAAGUUCCUGAUUCCACACUGCCAAGAAAAGCCUCUAGCGAGGCGGGAGGUGCCCGUACCGCAAACCGACACAGGUAGGCGAGGAGAGAAUCCUAAGGUGAUCGAGAGAACUCUCGUUAAGGAACUCGGCAAAAUGACCCCGUAACUUCGGGAGAAGGGGUGCUCUGGUAGGGUGUAUAGCCCGAGAGAGCCGCAGUGAAUAGGCCCAGGCGACUGUUUAGCAAAAACACAGGUCUCUGCGAAGCCGCAAGGCGAAGUAUAGGGGCUGACGCCUGCCCGGUGCUGGAAGGUUAAGAGGAGGGGUUAUCCUUUGGGAGAAGCUCUGAAUCGAAGCCCCAGUAAACGGCGGCCGUAACUAUAACGGUCCUAAGGUAGCGAAAUUCCUUGUCGGGUAAGUUCCGACCCGCACGAAAGGCGUAACGAUCUGGGCACUGUCUCAACGAGAGACUCGGUGAAAUUAUAGUACCUGUGAAGAUGCAGGUUACCCGCGACAGGACGGAAAGACCCCGUGGAGCUUUACUGUAGCCUGAUAUUGAAUUUUGGUACAGCUUGUACAGGAUAGGUAGGAGCCUGAGAAGCCGGAGCGCUAGCUUCGGUGGAGGCGUCGGUGGGAUACUACCCUGGCUGUAUUGAAAUUCUAACCCGCGGCCCUUAUCGGGCCGGGAGACAGUGUCAGGUGGGCAGUUUGACUGGGGCGGUCGCCUCCUAAAAUGUAACGGAGGCGCCCAAAGGUUCCCUCAGAAUGGUUGGAAAUCAUUCGUAGAGUGUAAAGGCACAAGGGAGCUUGACUGCGAGACCUACAAGUCGAGCAGGGACGAAAGUCGGGCUUAGUGAUCCGGUGGUUCCGCAUGGAAGGGCCAUCGCUCAACGGAUAAAAGCUACCCCGGGGAUAACAGGCUUAUCUCCCCCAAGAGUCCACAUCGACGGGGAGGUUUGGCACCUCGAUGUCGGCUCAUCGCAUCCUGGGGCUGUAGUCGGUCCCAAGGGUUGGGCUGUUCGCCCAUUAAAGCGGUACGCGAGCUGGGUUCAGAACGUCGUGAGACAGUUCGGUCCCUAUCCGUCGUGGGCGUAGGAAAUUUGAGAGGAGCUGUCCUUAGUACGAGAGGACCGGGAUGGACACACCGCUGGUGUACCAGUUGUCUUGCCAAAGGCAUCGCUGGGUAGCUAUGUGUGGACGGGAUAAGUGCUGAAAGCAUCUAAGCAUGAAGCCCCCCUCAAGAUGAGAUUUCCCAUAGCGCAAGCUAGUAAGAUCCCUGAAAGAUGAUCAGGUUGAUAGGUCAGAGGUGGAAGCGUGGCGACAUGUGUAGCUGACUGAUACUAAUCGAUCGAGGACUUAACCAAA